CAUGAUGCGAAUUUCCGCCAUCUUCCGGGAUCCGGAGGGUUGGUCCAUAGGGAUGCUGUGCGAUCCUCCCCGCCUUCUCUUUGAUUGGAGAGCUGCGAGGGGAUCAGAAUAUGGAGUCCCUGCUUCGUCCUUCUCAAUUCCAGUACAAUCACUGUAUACGGCACAUGCGUACGGGAAAUUGCGGCAAACAUUGGACAGGAAAGAGGCGAUAAGGAUCGAACGAUACGCCACUGCAAUUGGAAGAAACGAGGGAGUCGUUUUGACUCGUUAACGAAUCGAAUAAGGAGCGUCGACGUCGGUUGCGACUAGACGAGGACGAGGCUGUCGCAGGGCGCGGCUUCGCUUCCUUCGGACCGUUUCAGGAUCAAUACCUCAGCCACCGUUCCAAGGCUCCGCGAGUCUCGCCCCGAAUCAGCUCCGAACCUACAGCCGGCUAAUACCAUUCGUUAGAGGAGUUGUAACCCCUUU
rnacentral:lncRNA from 1 species